CCUACGGGAGGCAGCAGUGAGGAAUAUUGGUCAAUGGGCGCGAGCCUGAACCAGCCAAGUAGCGUGAAGGAUGACUGCCCUACGGGUUGUAAACUUCUUUUAUAAAGGAAUAAAGUGAGGCACGUGUGCCUUUGUAUAUGGAUUUUAUGAAUAAGGAUCGGCUAACUCCGUGCCAGCAGCCGCGGUAAUACGUAGGAUCCGAGCGUUAUCCGGAUUUAUUGGGUUGAAAGGGAGCGUAGAUGGGUUGUUAAGUCAGUUGUGAAAGUUUGCGGCUCAACCGUAAAAUUGCAAUUGAUACUGGCAGCCUUGAGUACAGUUGAGGUAGGCGGAAUUCGUGGUGUAGCGGUGAAAUGCUUAGAUAUAACGAAGAACUCCGAUUGCGAAGGCAGCCUACUAAACUUCCACUGACAUUGAGGCUCGAAAGUGUGGGUAUCAAACAGGAUUAGAUACCCUAGUAGUC
rnacentral:rRNA from 1 species